UACGUAGGGUGCAAGCGUCGUCCGGAAUUAUUGGGCGUAAAGGGUGUGUAGGCGGUUGUGUUAGUCUUCUGUUAAAUUCUUCGGCUUAACCGGGGGCAUGCAGAGGAAACGGCACAACUAGAGGAUGCGAGAGGUGAAUGGAACUCAUGGAGUAGGGGUGAAAUCCGUUGAUAUCAUGGGGAACACCGAAUGCGAAGGCAAUUCACUGGCGCACUCCUGACGCUGAGACACGAAAGCGUAGGUAGCGAAUGGG
rnacentral:rRNA from 1 species